GUGAGGAAUAUUGGUCAAUGGGGGAAACCCUGAACCAGCGACGCCGCGUGCGGGAUGAAGGGGCUUUGCCCUGUAAACCGCUGUCGGAGGGGAAGAAAAGCCGGGUCGCCCGGCUGGGACUGUACCCUUAGAGGAAGGUUCGGCUAACUACGUGCCAGCAGCCGCGGUAAUACGUAGGAACCAAGCGUUGUCCGGAAUUACUGGGUGUAAAGGGUGCGCAGGCGGGCUUGUGCGUCAGAGGUUAAAUACCCCGGCUCAACCGGGGAAAUGCCUUUGAUACGGCAAGUCUUGAGUACGAGAGAGGAUGGUAGAAUUCCUGGUGUAGCGGUGAAAUGCGUAGAUAUCAGGAGGAAUACCCGUGGCGAAGGCGGCCAUCUGGCUCGUUACUGACGCUCAGGCACGAAAGCGUGGGGAGCAAACAGGAUUAGAUACCCGUGUAGUCC
rnacentral:rRNA from 1 species